UACGGGGGGGGCAAGCGUUGUUCGGAAUUACUGGGCGUAAAGGGCGCGUAGGCGGUCAGCACAAGUCAGUUGUGAAAUCUCCGGGCUUAACUCGGAAAGGUCAACUGAUACUGUGCGACUAGAGUGCAGAAGGGGCAACUGGAAUUCUCGGUGUAGCGGUGAAAUGCGUAGAUAUCGAGAGGAACACCUGCGGCGAAGGCGGGUUGCUGGGCUGACACUGACGCUGAUGCGCGAAAGCUAGGGGAGCAAACAGG
rnacentral:rRNA from 1 species